rnacentral:tRNA from 1 species
AACGAAGUGCCUGAAUUAAAAGGGUUAUUUUGAUAGAAUAAAUUAUGUAAAUUUUUACCUUCGUUA